rnacentral:rRNA from 1 species
AGCAGCCGCGGUAAUUCCAGCUCCAAUAGCGUAUAUUAAAGUUGUUGCAGUUAAAAAGCUCGUAGUUGAAUUUCGGGAUCAAUACGUCGGUCGUGCUUCGGUACGUACUGGCGUCAUUGAUUUCUCCCUUCUGACGAACCAUGAUGUCAUUAACUUGGUGUCAUGGGAAAUCAGGACUGUUACUUUGAAAAAAUUAGAGUGUUUAAAGCAGGCUCACGCUUGAAUACAUUAGCAUGGAAUAAUGAAAUAGGACGUUCGAUCCUAUUUUGUUGGUUCUAUUUUGUUGGUUUUUAGGAUCAACGUAAUGAUUAAUAGGGAUAGUUGGGGGCAUUAGUAUUCAAUUGUCAGAGGUGAAAUUCUUGGAUUUAUUGAAGACUAACUACUGCGAAAGCAUUUGCCAAGGAUGUUUUCAUUAAUCAAGAACGAAAGUUAGGGGAUCGAAGACGAUCAGAUACCGUCGUAGUCUUAACCAUAAACUAUGCCGACUAGGGAUCGGAUGAUGUUAAUUUUUUAAUGACUCAUUCGGCGCCUUACG